GACGAACGCUGGCGGCGUGCCUAAUACAUGCAAGUCGAACGCAGUGGGGACGGGUGCGUAACACGUGGGUAACCUCGCAUCAGAGGGGAUAACACGUGGAAACAGGUGCUAAACCGAUACUGAUGGAUGGCCCCGCGGUGCAUUAGCUAGUGGGUGAGGUAACGGCUCACCAAGGCCACGAUGCAUAGCUGACCGGCGAGGGUGACCGGCCACACGGGGACGUAGACACGGCCCAGACUCCUACGGGAGGCAGCAGUAGGGAAUCUUCGGCAAUGGACGAAAGUCUGACCGAGCAACGCCUCGUGAGUGAAGAAGGUUUUCGGAUCGUAAAGCUCUGUUGGUAGAGAAGCGGUAUCUAACCAGAAAGCCCCGGCUAACUACGUGCCAGCCGCCGCGGUAAUAC
rnacentral:rRNA from 1 species